rnacentral:rRNA from 1 species
UUCACGGAGAGUUUGAUCCUGGCUCAGGACGAACGCUGGCGGCGUGCUUAACACAUGCAAGUGGAGCGACGAACCAGGGCUUGCCCUGGGGCAGAGCCGCGAACGGGUGAGUAACACGUGGGCAACCUGCCCCGAUGACUGGGACAACCCGAGGAAACUCGGGCUAAUACCGGAUGUGCUCCCUCACAUAAGUGAGACGAGUAAAGGAAGCUUCGGCCUCCGCAUUGGGAUGGGCCCGCGGCCCAUUAGCUUGUUGGUGGGGUAACGGCCUACCAAGGCGACGAUGGGUAGCUGGUCUGAGAGGACGAUCAGCCACACUGGGACUGAGACACGGCCCAGACUCCUACGGGAGGCAGCAGUGGGGAAUCUUGCACAAUGCGCGAAAGCGUGAUGCAGCAACGCCGCGUGCGGGAAGAAGGCCUUAGGGUUGUAAACCGCUUUCAGUUGGGACGAAGCCUCUUGGGUGAAUAGCCUGUUGGGGUGACGGU